AGAGAGAGAGAGAGAGAGAGAGACAGAGAGAGAGAGAGAGAGAGAGAGAGAGAGAGAGAGAGAGAGAGAGAGAGAGAGAGAGAGAGAGAGAGAGAGAGAGAGUUGCAUCCUAACCUUGCUUUCUGUGCAGUGUUGAAAUCUCCAGAGAGAGAGAGAGAGAGAGAGAGAGAGAGAGAGAGAGAGAGAGAGAGAGAGAGAGAGAGAGAGAGAGAGGGAGAGAGAGAGAGAGAGAGAGAGAGAGAGAGAGAGAUUAAAGUUAGCUCACUCUCUCUACGUUGCCAUGGCGGGGGCUUAUGGGGAAUACCUGCCAGACCUUGGUUACCUGUGUGAAGAUUAUUUGAAAAACUUAGACGAACAACAACAACAACAACAACAACAACAACAACAACAACAACAACAACAACAACUACAAGACUUCUCUCACUUAUACACGGAAUAUUGGUCACAAGAGGACAGCGCUGGCCAGUCCUCCUCCUUCGGACUAUCGCUGCGGGACAAUAGUCAAGAUUGGUCAUCUCACUAUUUCUCUCCAAUGAACACGGGAGGAGGAGGAGGAGGAGGAGGAGGAGGAGGAGGAGGAGGAGGAGGAGGAGGAGGAGGAGAAGAAAUACCCUUUUACCUCUUAGACUACCCUUACUCCUCCUUCUCUUCCUUAAAUGAUGGGAGGAGGGAAGACGAAGAGGAAGAGGAGGAAGAGGAGAAGAAGGAGGAGGAGGAGGAGGAGGAGAAGUGAUAAAAAGCUUACAAGAAAUGGAUUUGAAA